rnacentral:rRNA from 1 species
GAUGAACGCUGGCGGCGUGCCUAAUACAUGCAAGUCGAGCGAACGGACGAUAAGCUUGUUUCUCUGAUGUUAGCGGCGGACGGGUGAGUAACACGUGGAUCACCUACUUAUAAUACUGGGAUAAUUUCGGGAAACCGGAGCUAAUACCGGAGAAUAUUUUGAACCGCUGGGUUCAAAAGUGAAUGACGGCUUUGGUGUCUCUAAUAGCUGGUUCCGCGCUGGAUUAGCUAGUUGGUAAGGUAACGGCUUACCAAGGCAACGAUGCAUAUCCGACCUGAGAGGGUGAUCGGCCACACUGGAACUGAGACACGGUCCAGACUCCUACGGGAGGCAGCAGUAGGGAAUCUUCGGCAAUGGGCGCAAGCCUGACGGAGCAACGCCGCGUGAGUGAUGAAGGUCUUCGGAUCGUAAAACUCUGUUAUUGGGGAAGAACAGAUGUGUAUGUAACUGUGGACAUCUUGACGGUACCUAAUCAAAAAGCACCGGCUAACUACGUG